UCUCCAGUGUGGCUUCCCUGGAUUCAGUGCAUGCCUUUUUCUGCUCUCUGCCUGGAAGGCCCAGCCUCCAAGGAUUGCAUCACUUGGACUUCCUCACUCUCUGGUUGCUGCUGAGGUUUGGAUAAUGGGAAAACCAACUGGUAUGAAGCAAGAAGGCAUUUAUUUGGCUGAAUAACUCAGAACUGUGAAAACACACCGCAGAGAGAAGUCAAAUGCAUCCUAAAGCAAAGCAGUUUCCUAUCAGUAAGAGCACAGUAUCCUAAAAGCCCCAGUUUAAUUAUGGGAAAGCAUCAGACAAACACAGAGUGAGGAACAAUCUACAAAAUGCCCGAAGUGUCA